AACAUAGAAGCAUUACAGAAAUUUCCCCGGAGUCUGCUUGGUGAUUCUGUGCCUCACCCUUCCAAUCUGAACUUCAAACGGACAAACAAGUGGUGCCCGAACAUGGGGCUCGCGUAUAUGGGGUAAAUACCGAAGAAUCGGGAAGACAGUAGAAAAUCUGGGAGAAUGAUCCAAUGGCACAGUACAAGCAUAGCACGCACAAUACCCAGCGCCAAGCCCCAGAAAGUGGAUUGUCCAUCUCCCUGUUAAGAAGAAAGUCAUCACUGCCAUGCAGAAAACAGUGAAGCAUAGGAUUCAUCCAGACCAUUUUCACUGAGACCAUUUGUGUGCUGGAUCUCCGGAAAGCCUCAAAGCUUUUCCAGGCAAUUCCUGGGCAUCUCAAGUUUUUGCCUGAAUUGCAAAAGCUUUCAAGGAAUCAAAACUUGGCCAAGGAAGUCGGGAAGAGAAGUAGAGCAAAGGAAAUGGGGAGAGAAAAAUUCCUGCGUAUCCCGCUUCCCCUCCCCCAACCCUUUUUUUCUGAAAUCUUGACAUCCAGGGAGUGGAAAACUGGGUUAAUUAGACCAGAGUCUCGCCCCCGGUGGCGAUUUUCAGGUGUCUGAGAGCUCCGCCGCCUUGCGAGAGCCAAGGGAGGAAAAGGGAGGGGCCGGGCCGCGCACAAUGGCGCAAUUAUUUGUCUAAAGUUGCAUCCUUGGCGGAGCUCCUUGCAUAAUUCAAGAGUAAUUAGGUGUUCCCUUUUCAAGGCAGACUUGGAGUGGGGAGGGGGUGUUUAUUUACUUUGCGGCUUUGCUUAGAGAAGAGCUCCCGGAAGAGCUGAAAAAUGAUUGCUGGCAGAUUAGCACUUGCUGCAAGGAGAGUUAAAAUAAGUUUAUUCUCUUGCAAAUCGAAGCCUCUCCAACUUUUCUUUCUCUUACGCGUCAUCUGCAAUCUAGAGUCACAGACCCGCGUGUAAGCAGCGUUAGCUCAAACAAACAAACAAACUCGCCUGGGGCUCUGACCCCAGGCGUAAUAGUUCAAAAGUUGGCUCUCUCUUGUAGUUCCCUACUUCCGUAGUCACCUUCACUGGUGGCCAGGACUUCUGGUCUGAGUCGCACUCUCUGCUCAGAUACCUUUGGCUACGUCUUGGAAUCCUCACCGGGAUAAAGCGUGGACCUGGAAAACUGUCACGCUGCGCAAAAGUUCGGAUGCUCGACCAAACUCAGAACGGAACAAACCGGCUUCCAGUCAAAGAGA
rnacentral:lncRNA from 1 species